rnacentral:hammerhead_ribozyme from 1 species
AUACAGCUGGCGAGUCCCAAAUAGGACGAAACUCACGUCCUGGAU